GGCCGGCUCCUUGGCCACGGAGUGGGCUGAACCGGACGAGCUGGGAUUUGUGUUCUCCUCCUCAGCCUCCGCCUCGGCACCCGCCUCAGCCCGGGACGCCAGUCCCGAGGCCGGGGGCGCCUCGGGCUCCCCCUUGGCCUCGCCCUUGCCGGAGCAGGGGGGCUCGGCGGGCGCGUCGCCGCCACCGCAGUAGGCGUUGUCGAAGAAACGGUCGAAGGCUUGAGGCAGGACGCUGUUCUUGUUGACUGAGGAGUAGAAGCCGGCGGGGGCUGCGUGCGGGGCGCUGGGAUGGUGGUGGCCGCCGUAGGAGCCUUCGUUUUUCAUGAGGAUCUCGGUGACGGUGGAAGGAGGCAGGCACUCCCGGUGCAUAAGCUCGUCGGCGGCCGCAUAGCAGGAGGAGUAGCUGUUCCGAUGGUGCCACUUGCCGGAUGGCUCCAGGCCGUAGGAGACCUCCCGGACCGGGGGCACUUGGGCCGAGUAGGGAUAGGAGAUCUGACGAGAGGGGGCCUGGGGCAGGAAGGAGGAGACCGUGGAGAACUCAGGCAUGUAGUAAGUGCAACUGGGCAGAUAGAGGUUGGAGGCGCAGCUCCCUCGCUCGCCGAAAUCUGCGCCCCUCUCCUUGCGCGACGGCGAGCAGAAGUUGCCCAGGUUGACCGAGUUAAACAUCGUUCUCCUCUCCUGCCGGCUCCGGAUGGAGGUUUUGGACCCGGUCUAGCGAGGGGGGAAAAUUUGGGAAGGCGAGAUGACGCGUUAUCCGUCUUAGUCUCUCUCUCUCUCUGAGCACGUGAUCCAAAGUAGAUAUUGUCAUAUAUCAGUUCGGAGCACUUCGCAGACGUAGGAGGGGUUCUCUCUUAGAGACACCGCCUGUUCACAAGAGUUUGCAGAAGUCCACUCUUUUCCUGGCCAGAGCUGGGUGUCAAGACUACCUUUCUGGAGUCCUUAGAGAGACUCCCAGAAGAGUAUCUGAAGUUUCCCAAAGCCUCCAGGCCCUGCCUUCUGCCUGCACAUUCUGCCCUGAUUUCCGGAACCUGGAAGCCUAGGCAGGCAGGGGGGAACUCUGACUCGCCUGUGCUCUGAAGCUUGAUCCGAAAGCUUCCACAGUGAGGACUGCUCCGUGGGGGUAAGAGAGCACCAGGCACUGAGGCCUGGGAGCUCCACAGACCAACACCCCUGCUCCUGGCGGCUCCUACCUGGGACUUAGACCCUCAGGUCCCUAAUAUCCCGGAGGUGCUCUCAAUCAGAAAGGUAAAGUGGGGGGUGGGGGCAGAUCCCACAGGCCAUUUUUCCAGUUGAGGAGGGUGGAGGUGACAACAAUUAGAGGCUUUUGGAGCAUCAGAUUGAACCAGAAUUCCCCAUCAUUGUUUUCUGUGCAUCCUUCCCAUCCCUUGCCAUUAGAAUUUCAAUUUAAAAAGCAAUGAUUAGGCCGUAAAAUGGCUUCAUGAGCCCAGAGGAGACGAAAACGAGCUGUGAGGUCCAGGAAAAAGGUAAGUCCUCCGCAGAUAUCCCCACAUCAAUUAUUUUUCUCUCCUUCUUUCUCUCUGUUCAUUCCCAGCGCUACCCUGGAGGAAAAGGAUCAAGGAUCUCAGUUCGGGAUCCUUCCUCCCUGAGGCUUCUAGCUGAGCCUGCCCACUGCCCACCGCCAAAGGCUGCCGCGGCGGAUCUGGGGCUCUUUCGGUCUCGCCGGCCGGCUGCGGCGCCGCCUUACGCUCCCGGUCUCCCUGUCUCCCUCCAUUCUUGCCUCACUCCUCCCCUAGACCAACAAAUAUCCAAUAUAUUUGUUUCUCCGCACCCCAGGCCUCCGCGCAGUCAGCUCAGCGCUCGGGGAUCGCUGCCCCCGCACUGGGUCCUUACGCACUUUGCUUCCAGUCCCACCGACUACAGCCUCUUUCUUUGCUAGCUGCCCGGGUAAAACGCUUCUGUCGCACUUUCCUGCUUCUCCCCCUUUCUUUCCGCCUCUGGAUCUGAGAAAGAAAUAAAACCAAGUCUCCUACCGCACCAGCCCUCCCCAGCCCUGCUGCCUCACUUCUCCUUACCGAGUGUACCGCCUUGUUUUCUGAAGGAAACCGUAACAUUCAGACAUUUAAGCUGUAAAUGAACUUUUCUUUAUGACGUUUAAUUUUCUCUCCAAUUCUUAGGUCCUGCUCCGCUUCUCAGUGGAAUGGAACGGAUUUAGAAGCCUGCAGUAGGGGAGUGGGGAGUGGAGAGAAGGAGCCCAGAGUUACAGACAGCGGCGAGAGAUACAGAAGACCGGGAGAUAGAGAAAAAGAGAGGCAGGGGAAGGGAGGGGGAGAAAGGAGGGAAGGAAGGGUCCCCAGCUAGCGGGGAGCGGAGCCAGAGAGAGAAAAAGAGAGAAAAGUUUCCCGGAGUCUUCAUUAGUUGAUUUCCCUGUCCGCCGCUUUCCCUGGCCGGCUCACCCCCGGUAAAGGAAGGAGGGGCGUCUUUAUUUUUUUAAGGCCCCAAAGAGUCCGAAGUUUACAAGACCAGAAAUGCCACGGCCGCGUCCUGGCAGAGAGAAAAGGCUGAAAUGGAGGAGCGGCGCCUUCCUUAUAAGCUCGUUGGGGCCUAAGCCAGUACCGACCUGGUAGAAAAGCAACCACGAAGCUAGAGAGAGAGCCAGAGGAGGGAAGAGAGCGCCAGACGAAGGUGAAAGCGAACCACGCAGAGAAAUGUAGGCAAGGGAGCAAGGCGGCAGUUCCCGGAACAAACGUGGCAGAGGGCAAGACAGGCACUCACAGACAGAGGUUUAUGUAUUUUUAUUUUUUUAAAAUCUGAUUUGGUGUACCAUGAGGAAAAGGGAAAAUCUGGGGAAUUGGAGUACAGAGAGAAUAAUCCGGGUCCUAGCUCGCCACAUGAACGCCCAGAAGGAGAGAACGCUGGAAAAACCUGAGCGGGUGCCGGGACAGCACCCGGCUCGGGUCAGCCACUGCCCCACACCGGGCCCACCGAGCCCCCCCCCGCGCGGCCACCCGGGCUUCCUUGCUCUUCUUAUCAUCUCCAUCUUUAUGACGAGGCUUGUUAUUAACAAGACCAGAGAGCUGGCCACACACCUCUAUCUCAGCCGCGCCCGCUCAGCCGAGCAGCGGCCGGCGGGGGGACUGGGAGGCGCUAAUUAAUUGAUUCCUUUGGACUGUAAAAUAUGGCGGUGUCUACACGGAACCCACGGACUCAUAAACAAUAUCUCUGUUGGGCGUGAGUGCACUGUCUCUCAAAUAAUUUUUCCAUAGGCGUAUGUCAGAGGGUUCUGGAUUUUUAGUUGCUAAGGAAAGACCCAAAUGGGACUAAUUUCAGGAGGCCCAAACAGAGUCCUUUCAUUGUCAGAAAAUGCUUCCCCAAAGGGGUUGGGAGUGUGUUUUGUUGGAAAAAAGCUUGGGUUAUAGGAAAGCCUUUCCCUGCUAAAUUGUGUAGACCCAGCUCAAUUUAAGAAUUACAAGGAAGGAAAGGGGUUGUGUAGGCCGGAAGCCUCUCUGUCCCGGCUGGAUGCAGGGGACUUGAGCUGCUCCGGGAUUUGAGAGGAACAUAGAAGCAGAGGUCCAGCCUGUGCUUCACGCUGAUUCUUACACUUAAGAUUCAAAAACAAAUUUUUAAAAGUGAAACCAGCCCUAGCCUUUGGAAGCUCUUGAAGUUUCAGCACCCACCCAGGAAUCCACCUGCCUGUUACAGGCCUCUCCAAGACACAGUGGCACCGCUUUUCUAACUGGCAGCACAGAGCAACUGUUUAAUAUGCUUAUAUUAGGUCUAGAAGAAUGCAUCUUGAGACACAUGGGUAACCUAAUUAUAUAAUGCUUAUUCCAUACAGGAGUGAUUAUGCAGUGGGACCCUGCUGCAUACGGGACUUUGCACUCUAAAUAUAGACCCCAGCUUGGGACAAAGUUGCAGUAGAAACGUAGACAUAGGAGAACACUUAAAUAACUGAUGCAUGUAGACAUAGAAGGGGUAUUUAAAAGACAGAAAUAAUAGAAGUACAGAAGAACAGAAAAAAGACUCAGCAGAUGGAGAUUACCAUUCCCAAUGCCUGAACUUCCUCCUGCUAUUAAGAUUGCUAGAGAAUUGUGUCUUAAAAAGUUCAUGAACCCAGAAUAAUGCAAUUUCAGUGUAUUUAGUACACACACACAGUAUGUAUAUAAACACAACUCACAGAAUAUAUUUUCCAUACAUUGGGUAGGUAUGCACUUUGUGUAUAUAUAAUAAUGUAUUUUCCAUGCAGUUUUAAAAUGUAGAUAUAUUAAUAUCUGGAUGCACUUUCUAUGCACUGGUUUUAUAUGCCUUAUGGAGUAUAUACUCACAUGUAGCUAGAUAGACUCAGGACUGCACAUUCCUUGUGUAGGAUGUGUGUGUGUGGUGGUUUUAUGCAUAAAUAAAGUUUUACUUGUGGUGAA